rnacentral:rRNA from 1 species
UACAGGGGGGGCAAGCGUUGUUCGGAAUUACUGGGCGUAAAGGGUCUGUAGGUGGCCAACUAAGUCAGACGUGAAAUCCCUCAGCUUAACUGGGGAACUGCGUCUGAUACUGGAUGGCUUGAGUGUGGGAGAGGAAUGCGGAAUUCCAGGUGUAGCGGUGAAAUGCGUAGAUAUCUGGAGGAACACCGAUGGCGAAGGCAGCCUUCUGGGCCAACACUGACGCUCAUGCACGAAAGCGUGGGGAGCAAACAGG